GCGACCCCAGGUCAGGCGGGGCUACCCGCUGAAUUUAAGCAUAUCAAUAAGCGGAGGARAAGAAACUUACAAGGAUUCCCCUAGUAACGGCGAGCGA
rnacentral:rRNA from 1 species